rnacentral:rRNA from 1 species
UGCGUUCCAUUAGAUAGUAGCGGGUAACGGCCCACCUAGUCGACGAUGGAUAGGGGUUCUGAGAGGAAGGUCCCCCACAUUGGAACUGAGACACGGUCCAAACUCCUACGGGAGGCAGCAGUGAGGAAUAUUGGUCAAUGGACGAGAGUCUGAACCAGCCAAGUAGCGUGAAGGGUGACUGCCCUAUGGGUUGUAAACUUCUUUUAUAAGGGAAUAAAGUGCGCCACGUGUGGUGUUUUGUAUGUACCUUAUGAAUAAGCAUCGGCUAAUUCCGUGCCAGCAGCCGCGGUAAUACGGAAGAUG